UACGGAGGGUGCAAGCGUUAAUCGGAAUUACUGGGCGUAAAGCGCGCGUAGGCGGUUUGUUAAGUGAGAUGUGAAAGCCCAGGGCUCAACCUUGGAACUGCAUCUCAUACUGGCAGGCUAGAGUAUGGUAGAGGGAGGUAGAAUUCCACGUGUAGCGGUGAAAUGCGUAGAGAUGUGGAGGAAUACCAGUGGCGAAGGCGGCCUCCUGGACUAAUACUGACGCUGAGGUGCGAAAAGCGUGGGGGAGCAAAACAGGAUUAGAUACCCCCGGUAGUCC
rnacentral:rRNA from 1 species